UUAUACGACAUCGCAUUGGUGAAAGUCAACCUAACAUCAGAAGCGAAAUCAAUCGGCGAUCUAUAUAAACCUUUUUCCAGAUUCAUCUUCACCGUACCCAGAUCCAUAGGCUUGUCCACAAUCCGAUGAUAGUCAUGAAGCCCUAAACCUACCACAUCAACAGGAUU
rnacentral:sRNA from 1 species